CGCGGCCUAUCAGCUUGUUGGUGGGGUAACGGCCUACCAAGGCGACGACGGGUAGCCGGCCUGAGAGGGUGACCGGCCACACUGGGACUGAGACACGGCCCAGACUCCUACGGGAGGCAGCAGUGGGGAAUAUUGCACAAUGGGCGAAAGCCUGAUGCAGCGACGCCGCGUGAGGGGUGACGGCCUUCGGGUUGUAAACCUCUUUCGACAGGGAAGAAGCUUUCGGGUGACGGUACCUGUAGAAGAAGCACCGGCUAACUACGUGCCAGCAGCCGCGGUAAUACGUAGGGUGCAAGCGUUGUCCGGAAUUAUUGGGCGUAAAGAGCUCGUAGGCGGCCUGUCGCGUCGGUUGUGAAAGCCCGGGGCUUAACCCCGGGUCUGCAGUCGAUACGGGCAGGCUAGAGUUCGGCAGGGGAGACUGGAAUUCCUGGUGUAGCGGUGAAAUGCGCAGAUAUCAGGAGGAACACCGGUGGCGAAGGCGGGUCUCUGGGCCGAUACUGACGCUGAGGAGCGAAAGCGUGGGGAGCGAACAGGAUUAGAUACCCUGGUAGUCCACGCUGUAAACGGUGGGCACUAGGUGUGGGCCGCAUUCCACGUGGUCUGUGCCGUAGCUAACGCAUUAAGUGCCCCGCCUGGGGAGUACGG
rnacentral:rRNA from 1 species